UUCUCCAUCUUCUUAGAGUU
rnacentral:tRNA from 1 species